rnacentral:rRNA from 1 species
UACGUAGGUGGCAAGCGUUGUCCGGAUUUACUGGGCGUAAAGAGCGCGCAGGCGGUCGUUCAAGUCGCGUGUGAAAGCCCCCGGCUCAACUGGGGAGGGUCACGCGAUACUGAUCGACUCGAAGGCAGGAGAGGGAAGUGGAAUUCCCGGUGUAGUGGUGAAAUGCGUAGAUAUCGGGAGGAACACCUGUGGCGAAGGCGGCCCCCUGGUUGGAUACUGACGCUGAUACGCGAAAGCGUGGGGAGCAAACAGG